rnacentral:rRNA from 1 species
GACGAACGCUGGCGGCGUGCUUAACACAUGCAAGUCGAACGGAAAGGCCCUGCUUUUGUGGGGUGCUCGAGUGGCGAACGGGUGAGUAACACGUGAGUAACCUGCCCUUGACUUUGGGAUAACUUCAGGAAACUGGGGCUAAUACCGGAUAGGAGCUCCUGCUGCAUGGUGGGGGUUGGAAAGUUUCGGCGGUUGGGGAUGGACUCGCGGCUUAUCAGCUUGUUGGUGGGGUAGUGGCUUACCAAGGCUUUGACGGGUAGCCGGCCUGAGAGGGUGACCGGCCACAUUGGGCCUGAGAUACGGCCCAGACUCCUACGGGAGGCAGCAGUGGGGAAUAUUGCACAAUGGGCGGAAGCCUGAUGCAGCAACGCCGCGUGCGGGAUGACGGCCUUCGGGUUGUAAACCGCUUUCGCCUGUGCCGAAGCGUGAGUGACGGUAAUGGGUAAAGAAGCACCGGCUAACUACGUG